GGAGUUAGCCGGUGCUUCUUCUGUGAGUGAUGUCCUUCCUGCCGGCUAUUAACCCGCAGGCCUUCUUCCUCACUGAAAGUGCUUUACAACCCGAAGGCCUUCUUCACACACGCGGCAUGGCUGGAUCAGGGUUGCCCCCAUUGUCCAAUAUUCCCCACUGCUGCCUCCCGUAGGAGUCUGGGCCGUGUCUCAGUCCCAGUGUGGCUGAUCAUCCUCUCAGACCAGCUACGGAUCGUCGCCUUGGUGAGCCGUUACCUCACCAACCAGCUAAUCCGACAUAGGCUCAUCCGAUAGCGCGAGGCCCGAAGGUCCCCCGCUUUCCCCCGUAGGGCGUAUGCGGUAUUAGCCUGGGUUUCCCCAGGUUAUCCCCCACUACCGGGAAGAUUCCUAUGCAUUACUCACCCGUCCGCCGCUCGCCACCAGGGAGCAAGCUCCCCGUGCUGCCGCUCGACUUGCAUGUGUUAGGCCUGCCGCCAGCGUUCAAUCUGAGCCAGAAUCAAACUCUGA
rnacentral:rRNA from 1 species